CUGGGCCAGGAGGUCCAACCUGGCGGAAUGCAAUGGUCAAGCUGCUCACCCUACUAGAGUCUCUUUCCCGUUCCUUUGUUCUGUGUCUGGCCGUGGGAUGGGACACGGGCGGAGGCUGGGAAGGCACCUGCUGGCUCUUCCUGUCACCCUCUCCGAGCGGUGUCUAGGCUCCCCGGUGGAGAAUGAGACACACUCGAGGGAUGGGACAGAGCUGCCUGAUGGCAGCCGAGAGCCAAGCAGCCCUAGACGAGUGAGUGAGUCCCGAGUGACCCCGGCGAGGACAGAAGAGCCACCUGCUGAGCCCAGCCUGACCCCUGACCUGCGGCUUGAUAACAGCAGAGGGAGCCUCUAACCUCCCUCUUCCGCUGGCGUUGGGAAACAGCCAUGGGGCUCACGGGGCCUCCUCGGAGGACCUAUGCCGCCUCUCCAUCACUCAGCUCCCUCAGCGCGGGGAGGAAAUGACCGCUCAGUUCUAUUAUCUCCAAAGCUGAAGGAUGAUCUCAAGUUUUAUCGGCGAGGAAACUCAUUUGAUUUUAAAUGAUUUUCGGCCUGGAAGUUAGUAGAUUUUAGGAGGCUCUUAAAUAAAUUGCCUAGAAAUAAAGAUGAGCUGCUGGUUUAUGGUGAAACUUAAUCUGUCCUGACUGGAACAUUUGCAGAGAUUUGGCUCAAGGACGCUGGACCUGGCUGGGCAGAGCAGAGAGACGGGGGUGUCCUCGGUGUUAAAAAUGGGGUUGUGCGCAAAUGUGCCACAUCUGUGACAUGUUUAUUGUUCUUUGUGCUUUCGCAUGUAGAAAAAUAAAGCAAACUUUUUCUGAUUAUGUCAGUAAUUGAUGUUUAUUGUAGAUAACUUGUAAAAUAAACUGAAGCAUAAAAAAGAAAAUAA
rnacentral:lncRNA from 10 species